rnacentral:rRNA from 1 species
AACGAACGCUGGCGGCAUGCUUUACACAUGCAAGUCGAACGGCAGCGCCGGGUUCGGCCUGGCGGCGAGUGGCGAACGGGUGAGAACUACAUCGGAACGUGCCCAGACUCGCGGGAAAGCGCGGCGAAAGCCGGAAUUGUACCGCAUACGACGUGAUGGUGAAAGCGGGGGGGCUUCGGACCGCGCACUUUUGUGGCGGCCGAGGGGGGUAUCAAUAGGUGGGGGGGUAGAUGGUUACCGAGGCGACGAGGUGAAGCUGGUCUGAGAGGACGACCAGCCACACUGGGACUGAGACAGGGCCCAGACUCCGACGGGAGGCAGCAGUCGGGAAUUUUGGACAAUGGGGGAAAGCCUGAUCCAGCAAUGCCGCGUGUGUGAUGAAGGCGUUCGGGUGGGAAAGCACUGUUGGCGGUAGCGAAAUGGAGUGUGCUAACACCGCGGGUCGAUGACGGUACCGGCAGAAUAAGCACCGGCUAACUACGUG